rnacentral:rRNA from 1 species
CCGACUGCUAUCGGAUUGGGAUUUAGCCAUGUUAGUUGUGCGUUCCUGGCUACAGGCGCGCAGCGUACGGCUCAGUAACACGUAGUCAACCUGCCCUGGAGACGCGGAAAAGCCCGGGAAACUGGGGUUAAUCCGCGAUAGAUGACCUCAUCUGGAAGGAGAGGUCGUUCAAAAGGUAUCAUGGGUAUGCUCUGUGACUUCGCUCCAGGAUGGGACUGCGGCCGAUCAGGCUGUUGGCGGGGUAAUGGCCCACCAAACCUGUAACCGGUACGGGCUUUGAGAGAAGGAGCCCGGAGAUGGACACUGAGACAAGGGUCCAGGCCCUACGGGGCGCAUCAGGCGCGAAAACUUCGCAAUGCGCGAAAGCGUGACGAGGCUAGUCCGAGUGCUCUCCGCUAAGGAGGGCUUUUCUCGGCUGUAAAUAGGCCGGGGAAUAAGGGGAGGGCAAGUCUGGUGUCAGCCGCCGCGGUAAUACCAGCUCCUCGAGUGGUCGGGACGAUUAUUGGGCCUAAAGCACCCGUAGCCGGUUCCGUAAGUCCUCUGUUAAAUCCAGUCGCUCAACGGCUGGUCUGCAGGGGAUACUGCGGGACUAGGAGGCGGGAGAGGCGGACGGUACUCCGCGUGUAGGGGUAA